GAUGAACGCUGACAGAAUGCUUAACACAUGCAAGUCAACUUGAAUUUGGGUUUUUAACUUAGGUUUGGGUGGCGGACGGGUGAGUAACGCGUAAAGAACUUGCCUCACAGCUAGGGACAACAUUUGGAAACGAAUGCUAAUACCUAAUAUUAUGAUAAUAGGGCAUCCUAUAAUUAUGAAAGCUAUAAGCGCUGUGAGAGAGCUUUGCGUCCCAUUAGCUAGUUGGAGAGGUAACGGCUCACCAAGGCGAUGAUGGGUAGCCGGCCUGAGAGGGUGAUCGGCCACAAGGGGACUGAGACACGGCCCUUACUCCUACGGGAGGCAGCAGCGGGGAAUAUUGGACAAUGGACCGAGAGUCUGAUCCAGCAAUUCUGUGUGCACGAUGAAGUUUUUCGGAAUGUAAAGUGCUUUCAGUUGGGAAGAAACAAAUGACGGUACCAACAGAAGAAGUGACGGCUAAAUACGUG
rnacentral:rRNA from 1 species